AUUGAACGCUGGCGGCAGGCCUAACACAUGCAAGUCGAGCGGAUGAGAGGAGCUUGCUUCUCGAUUCAGCGGCGGACGGGUGAGUAAUGCCUAGGAAUCUGCCUGGUAGUGGGGGACAACGUGUCGAAAGGAACGCUAAUACCGCAUACGUCCUACGGGAGAAAGCAGGGGACCUUCGCGCCUUGCGCUAUCAGAUGAGCCUAGGUCGGAUUAGCUAGUUGGGGAGGUAAUGGCUCACCAAGGCGACGAUCCGUAACUGGUCUGAGAGGAUGAUCAGUCACACUGGAACUGAGACACGGUCCAGACUCCUACGGGAGGCAGCAGUGGGGAAUAUUGGACAAUGGGCGAAAGCCUGAUCCAGCCAUGCCGCGUGUGUGAAGAAGGUCUUCGGAUUGUAAAGCACUUUAAGUUGGGAGGAAGGGUUGUAGAUUAAUACUCUGCAAUUUUGACGUUACCGACAGAAUAAGCACCGGCUGACUCUGUGCCAGCCGCCGCCGUAAGAC
rnacentral:rRNA from 1 species